AUUGAACGCUGGCGGCAGGCCUAACACAUGCAAGUCGAACGGCAGCACAGAAGAGCUUGCUCUUUGGGUGGCGAGUGGCGGACGGGUGAGUGAUGUCUGGGAAACUGCCCGAUGGAGGGGGAUAACUACUGGAAACGGUAGCUAAUACCGCAUAACGUCGCGAGACCAAAGUGGGGGACCUUCGGGCCUCACACCAUCGGAUGUGCCCAGAUGGGAUUAGCUAGUAGGUGGGGUAAUGGCUCACCUGGGCGACGAUCCCUAGCUGGUCUGAGAGGAUGACCAGCCACACUGGAACUGAGACACGGUCCAGACUCCUACGGGAGGCAGCAGUGGGGAAUAUUGCACAAUGGGCGCAAGCCUGAUGCAGCCAUGCCGCGUGUAUGAAGAAGGCCUUAUGGUUGUAAAGCACUUUAAGCGAGGAGGAGGCUCUUUUGGUUAAUACCCAAGAUGAGUGGACGUUACUCGCAGAAUAAGCACCGGCUAACUCUGUGCCAGCCGCCGCCGUAA
rnacentral:rRNA from 1 species